rnacentral:rRNA from 1 species
UACGUAGGGUGCGAGCGUUAAUCGGAAUUACUGGGCGUAAAGCGUGCGCAGGCGGUGAUGUAAGACCGAUGUGAAAUCCCCGGGCUUAACCUGGGAACUGCAUUGGUGACUGCAUCGCUCGAGUAUGGCAGAGGGGGGUAGAAUUCCACGUGUAGUAGUGAAAUGCGUAGAGAUGUGGAGGAAUACCGAUGGCGAAGGCAGCCCCCUGGGUCAAUACUGACGCUCAUGCACGAAAGCGUGGGGAGCAAACAGG